rnacentral:misc_RNA from 1 species
UCAACUGCUAUUGAUGGAAAAAUAAAGGCUUGGCUAUAUGAUAAUAUAGGAUCUAGAGUUGACUAUGAUGCUCCAGGCCGUUGGUGCACUACAAUGCUUUACAGUGCUGAUGGUAGUAGAUUAUUCUCUUGUGGAACAAGUAAAGAAGGGGAUUCUUUCUUAGUUGAAUGGAAUGAAAGUGAAGGAGCAAUAAAGAGGCAUUAUG